UACGGAAGGCAGCAGUGGGGAAUAUUGCACAAUGGGCGCAAGCCUGAUGCAGCCAUGCCGCGUGUAUGAAGAAGGCCUUCGGGUUGUAAAGUACUUUCAGUCGUGAGGAAGGUGUUAAGGUUAAUAACCUUAGCAAUUGACGUUAGCGACAGAAGAAGCACCGGCUAACUCCGUGCCAGCAGCCGCGGUAAUACGGAGGGUGCGAGCGUUAAUCGGAAUUACUGGGCGUAAAGGGCACGCAGGCGGUUAAUUAAGUUGGAUGUGAAAUCCCCGGGCUUAACCUGGGAAUGGCAUUCAAGACUGGUUAGCUAGAGUCUUGUAGAGGGGGUAGAAUUCCGAUGUGUAGCGGUGAAAUGCGUAGAGAUGUGGAGGAAUACCGGUGGCGAAGGCGGCCCCUGGACAAAGACUGACGCUCAUGUGCGAAAGCGUGGGGAGCGAAAC
rnacentral:rRNA from 1 species